AUGGAGCAGCGGGAGUGAGCGCAGACCAUGGCGGAGCCUCCCUGGCCAGAGUCUCCCCACUGCCUCCUCCUGCUUCAAGGACUCACUUUCUCCGCCUCCCCCAACAUAGAGUAGCCAUUGCUUUUUAGUCUAUUUUGUUUUCAAUACAAUUUAAUAUCAAUCAGAGUAAUUCUUUGUACAUUGAGGGGAGGGGCUUGGUCUAACCUCCCAUCCUCACCCACGGAACCACCAGGAUUGGAAGGAGCUCCUGACUCCUGCCGCCGCCUUUUCCCACAGCCUGUAACUUAAUGUUUUAUAUUUGAAUUGUGGUGGCUUGAAGGUCAUGUAUAGCUUGUGGAAAUCUUCCAAUUAAAUGUCUUGCUUUCAGUGGUAUCACCCCGACUUCAGAUAACCCUGGGCCACCUUGGGAAGCCAUCCUUGAGGCCCUCGCUCCAAUAGGAAAGGCAUGGUGGACUCACACAGCAGUCACUUGUCCUGACACCCUGUGGUGUUUGGCACGAGGCUCCCAGCCACUUAAACCUGUUCACUUUCCAAAGAGUUUGCCAUCUUCCAGCCUGUCCCGUUGUGUCCUCGCUUGUCUGCAUUCAUUAGCGGUAAUAUUCUUUUACGUAUAAUAAAUUUUUAUACCC
rnacentral:lncRNA from 1 species